rnacentral:rRNA from 1 species
UACGUAGGGUGCAAGCGUUGUCCGGAAUUCUUGGGCGUAAAGAGCUCGUAGGCGGUUUGUCGCGUCGGCUGUGAAAACCUGGGGCUCAACCCCGGGCCUGCAGCCGAUACGGGCAAACUAGAAUUCGGUAGGGGAGACUGGAAUUCCUGGUGUAGCGGUGAAAUGCGCAGAUAUCAGGAGGAACACCGGUGGCGAAGGCGGGUCUCUGGGCCAAUAUUGACGCUGAGGAGCGAAAGCGUGGGGAGCGAACAGG